rnacentral:rRNA from 1 species
CAACCUGCCCAUCACUUGGGGAUAACCUUGCGAAAGUAAGACUAAUACCCAAUGAUAUCUCAAGAAGACAUCUGAAUGAGAUUAAAGAUUUAUCGGUGAUGGAUGGGGAUGCGUCUGAUUAGCUUGUUGGCGGGGUAACGGCCCACCAAGGCGACGAUCAGUAGGGGUUCUGAGAGGAAGGUCCCCCACAUUGGAACUGAGACACGGUCCAAACUCCUACGGGAGGCAGCAGUGAGGAAUAUUGGUCAAUGGGCGAGAGCCUGAACCAGCCAAGUAGCGUGCAGGAUGACGGCCCUAUGGGUUGUAAACUGCUUUUAUAAGGGAAUAAAGUGAGCCUCGUGAGGCUUUUUGCAUGUACCUUAUGAAUAAGGACCGGCUAAUUCCGUGCCAGCAGCCGCGGUAAUACGGAAGGUCCGGGCGUUAUCCGGAUUUAUUGGGUUUAAAGGGAGCGUAGGCCGGAGAUUAAGCGUGUUGUGAAAUGUAGAUGCUCAACAUCUGCACUGCAGCGCGAACUGGUUUCCUUGAGUACGCACAAAGUGGGCGGAAUUCGUGGUGUAGCGGUGAAAUGCUUAGAUAACACGAAGAACUCCGAUUG